GCAGUGGUGGUUCAGGGGUAGAAUUCUCACCUUCCGUGAGGGAGACCUGGGUUCAAUUCCCAGCCAGUGCA
rnacentral:tRNA from 1 species